rnacentral:lncRNA from 1 species
GGUGCUUCCUGAGGCCAUCGGAAUCGUUCAGCCAAACUAAGGAUGUGAAUUGAUUGAGAUUGAGGACCCGAAAAGAUGACCUGCCUAUUUCAUUUCAUUCGAAUUUCCUCUCUUUCCCUAUAUUCCACACCAACUUAGCCUCCGCCUAGAGAGAGGAAGCUUCCACCUUUCAAAUCAAACUCGGAGAAAUCAAGGACGACGAAAUGAAGAAAUUGAAGAGGACGAGACGUUUUGGAUUAUGAGGUUAAUUGAUCAGCUUGAUAGGUGACUAGAGCUAGCUAGCGAGAAGUAUCCCACAGGCCAUUAUACUCUAGUAAAAUAUGAUCCUGCAUUCAUAAUGCAUUUGCUUCAAAGUGUAUCAGACUCAGCCGCCAUUCUUCAACUGCGUUACUGAUUUUGUUUCAGGUUUUCUCAUUUAGAGGAAUAAGA